AGCAUAAGGGGCCUACAAGCAAGAAAUAUAUUUAGAGAAAAACUCUUGUCUGGAUUUCUUCGGCUCUUUGCAAAUAUAGGACAACAUUUUCCUAAAAGGAAAUUAGAGAAUUUUUAAAAAAAGAGAGAAGCCUUCUUAUGGAGAGAAGACUUUUCAUCGACAUCUCUCUCCAAAUCUCCAGAUUUAUGCCUGGUUCAUGAAUAAAUAACUUUCCUCAGGAGACAGUCUUAGGAAGCUUUUCAGCUCAGGGAUUACUGCAGCACACCUUAGGAAAAUACCCAGGGAUCUGUACUGACAGACCUGCUUUUGGACUUACCUCAGAAAGCAGAGUGCAACGAGGAAGAAGAGAUUUGUCUGUCCUCUCCCCCACUCGUCGGCAACAUCGUCCUUCCGCAGAAACACAGACCAUAGGAAACAUGUGCUUGAAUGCAGUCUAAGAAGUGAAUUUGAGGUCACAGCUUCCUAAACCCCAAACUUAUGGUAGCAUGAGUUCAGAGAACAGAGAGGGUUUGCUGUUUGGAGCUGAGAUCCUGUCAUUCAGAAGGCGUUGGGCCAUAGAGUGAAGACUCCCAGGGUGCAGAGUUAGUGAGAUUUCUUGCUUUUGCUAGGGUACGGGAUCUUAUUAUUUCUGAAAGAGUAAAACCAUCGUCAAGGAACGCACUGGAGUCAGAGGCAACAGAGACCACAACUGAGCCCUGGAGCAAUGUGCCCAGCCAAGACAUCUUGUCUCUUGAGGAACAGUUCAGGGACAUUGUGGGAAGACACCUGGAUCCCUGCCUUGUGGGAGGUGGAAGUUGCCUCUCCAUACGUGUUCUUCAAAUGUUAGCCCCAUCAAGGAACUUCUCUCUACUAACUCUCUCUUCCUUGAUGUACACUUGAGGGAGACUACUCCCCAAGGUUAUGGAGAGAAUGUUUUAUAGUAAAAUCCAGAGAACCUGACCUGAACAGUCGAAUUGUUGGACAGGUGCCCCUCAGAAUGCUACAUCUAUAAAAAGGAAAAAAAAAGGAAAUAAACACAAUAGAAUCCUGAUAAAAUGGCUUGGGCAUU